rnacentral:rRNA from 1 species
GAGAUGGAUUGGUUGCCUUCGGGAACGUCUGACACAGGUGCUGCAUGGCUGUCGUCAGCUCGUGUCGUGAGAUGUUGGGUUAAGUCCCGUAACGAGCGCAACCCUUGUCCUUAGUUACCAGCACGUUAUGGUGGGCACUCUAAGGAGACUGCCGGUGACAAACCGGAGGAAGGUGGGGAUGACGUCAAGUCAUCAUGACCCUUACGGCCUGGGCUACACACGUGCUACAAUGGUCGGUACAAAGGGUUGCCAAGCCGCGAGGUGGAGCUAAUCCCAUAAAACCGAUCGUAGUCCGGAUCGCAGUCUGCAACUCGACUGCGUGAAGUCGGAAUCGCUAGUAAUCGUGAAUCAGAAUGUCACGGUGAAUACGUUCCCGGGCCUU